CUGAACCUGGUGCAGGCCUGAUGGUCUGACCUUGCUCACUGCUCUUCCUCUUUUCCUCCUUCCCAUUCCCCUCCUCCUCCUUUUCUUUUCGUUUUCUUCUUUCUCCUCUUCCCUUGACCCUCCACCUCCCUUCUACCCUCCCAUUACUCUCUUCUGUUCUACACAGCUUGAAUAUUCCUGGGCUAUUGUUUGUACAAUAAACUGUGCAAAGAAACACAAUCCUCCAAUGAAAGUUAUUUAAAAGUAAUUCUGAUUUUCACUUACAUUUUCCCAAGUUGCUAUGGGUUGAAUUGUGUGCUCCAAAAUUUAUAUAUUGAAGUCCUAAGCCCUAAUACCUCAGGAUGUGACCUUAUUUGGAGAUGAGGUCUUUACAGAGGUAAUUAAGUUAAACUGAGACAUUAGCAUAGUCCCUAAUCUGAUAUGAACUGCAUCCUUCUAAGAAGGAGAAGUUUGGACACAGGCAGCCAUACAGGGAGAACACCUUGUGAACUUGAGGACAUCCAUCUACAAGCCAAGGAGAGAGGCCUGGAACAGGCUCUUUUCCUCAGAGCCUUCAGACGGAACCAAACCUGUCAGCACCUCGACUUUGGACUUCUACCCUCCAGAACUCACAAGCCUACUGUCCUCAAGCAAGAUCACCUCAGGACUGCAAAAUGACUGCUGCAGCACAAGUCAUUACAUCCAUGUUUCAGGUUUCGAUGACCAGACUGUGCUUGUUCAGUGGGAACCCCUUAAUUCUGGCUCCUGGGUCCUCUUGACAUGUUCCCAUAAGUCCAUGAGCCUAUCCUUACUUGGCACAAAAAGGUGUUCCACAUUCUUCUCAUAUUUUCACUGCCCCAGCCUUAAACUCACUGUAUUUUGAGAACUGGUGGAUACCACCCAGUGUUAAAAGUUGAAGUCUUGAACCACUGUAGGAGCCAGAGGAGACGGUGAUUUCUCCUCAAAUUAUGACCCUUCUUGACCUUCAGAUGAAAGGACUAAGAGGAUGAUUGCCCCCACGUGCUUGUAAUUCAUCCCCAGGAUAAACAAAUCUACUGUCUUAAGUUUCUCAUGAUUUCCAUUUCAUGGAAGAGAAUUUCAAACUGAGCCUCAGAGACACUAGGUGGGAAACGGGAAUUCAAAUCUGUGGGAUAGGGUAACGGGAGAUCAAUACGGAACGGACUGCCGCCCUUACUAACAGUGACCCUGACCCACACAAGCCCGUGUGUGGGAGGAGCUUGGGCUCCUCCCAAGGAGCCUGCAGAGCCGGCGGCGAGCAGGAAGCCUCAGGGUACAGAGGAGCAUGUCACUCUGAACUCCCAGAUGGUGAAAGGAUGCCACGAAGGCCAGAAACAAAACCAGAUUGAACCAGCUAGGUCCAAGAUGACGGGCAAAGUAGGCUAAAGUACCUGGUGUUUGGCAGACAUGCUUCGCGGGCUGUACUUUGAGAGAUACACAGUGGUCAACCAUCCCAAACCAGCUCUGACGACCACGGGAACACGCCUGCGCAGAUGAAACCAGGGGGCUGUCCCAGCAUUACCUUCGCUUCAUUACCUUGCUAACAUCUCCACCCAAAGCGGGGAUUUGUGCUCUGCUAGGCACAAUUUGUUCCACGUGCAAAGGAACAUGGCCGACUGCGCAUGACCUGGCUGCCCCUGGAAAUCUCCGCCCCUUUCCUAGAGCCCUGAUGACCCUCUCCCUCCUAACCCUAAAAUUCCCUUACUCCCCUCUCUUUGGGGAGAAGGUGCUUUUAGAGUUUGAGCUUCCCUUCUCCAUUCUCUGGCGUUUGGGUAAAAACCUGUUUUGCUUGCACCAAACUCAAUUUCAUUAUUGGGAGCUCGAAACUGAGUGGGAAGGAACUCCCUGUCUGAUAGGGGUUGGGGGAAGGGAGAGCUUAGGUUCAGCUAAGGCACCAAGAAUGGGGGGGGGGCUCACGUCUAAUUCAGUAACAUUACCAUACUGCUUGUAUCCGUUUUCAACUGACUUUUUUUUUUUUUUUUUUUUUUUUUUCGUGGGCCUUU